CUGGACAAAUGGAUCCAUUAACAAACAGAACAUCAGCAGUGCCUAUAGCAAGGACUUGGGGGUUGGAGGUUGAUCCUAAGGCCAGGUUGACAAUAAUGAUAGCUUUUGCUUGUCAAACACUUGCUCUGCCUGGGUUUCUGACAAGGCACCAGAGACUCUAUGGGCAUUGUCUUUUACAGUCUUACAGCUGAGGAGACAAGCCACAGCCAUCAACCAUGUUGGAAGCCUGUGGAGACUCGGAGAGCUUUGUGAGUUCCUCUAAGUCUCACGAGCAAUGUGUUCAGCUCUGGAAUAUGAGCCUAACCUAUUGGAGCCUAGGGGAAGGAUUCUGCCAAUAGGAGUAUAAUGCCUAUCUCAUUGUUCCCCUAGGCUGGGAUCUGUGACUUAAGUCUUGACAGAUCUGCCACUCAUGGGACAUAACUUACUGGUACUUCUGCAUCUCUUUCAUCCCUCCAUCUACACCCCACCUCCUCUGUUUUCUAUUCUGUUUGUCCCUGUGGUGGUUUGAACGAGAAUGGCCCCCAUAGGCUCAUAUGUUUUGGGUAUUUGGUCCCCAAUUAGUAGAACUGUUUGGGAAGGAUUAGGAGGUAUGGCCUUGUUGGAAGGGUUGUGUCACUGGGGGUAGUCUUUGAGGUUUCCAAACUCUUGUGUCAUUGCCUAUGUGUUUAUUCUGCCUCCUGCUUUCAGAUCCAGAUGUGAGCUCACAGGUGUUCCCAGCACCUUGCUCAGCCACCAUAAACUCCAGCUCCCUGAAACCAUGAGUCCAUAAGUUGCCUUGGGUAUGGUGGUUUUCACAGCAACAGAAAAGUAACUAAGAUAGUCUCUGACUAGACAGUCCCAGAGAGAGAAGCAUUUGGUCAGCCAGCGUGGAGCUACUUUGAAGUAAAGAGAGCAAAGCACCUACCCAGAUGAGCCCGUGACCCCCUGUCUCGCCAGCCAGCUUCUUCCUCAAGUGAGACCUCGGCUGUGGUCAGAGCCACUGUUUGGUCCUCUGGACCAUGACUGGUACUCUUUAUUCAGAAAGAGUACAUCUUUCUGACUCUGUAAGAUUCAUCUAGCCAACACAUUCUCACUUUUUACAAAAUUAGUCAGAAUUUUAGGAUUUCCAGGAUAGGGUUCUGAAUGCCAACUAGACCAAGCUGUUAAAGAAACAAGGAGUCAGUGUGUGGCGACAGCCAGGAAACUCCCUCGACAUCUUUGACACAUGCAUUCCUGCUUGCUUCUCUGCCCACCCCCCACCUUGUCUAUUGAGGCAACUUGGGGAGAAAAAGUCCCUGGCAAUAGAUUCCAAUGAACUUGGGUGCUAUGGCGUCCACAACAAAUACGGGCAGGUCCAAACAUUUUGUGGGCUGCUUUUGUCAUUUCUAGCGUGGGUUGCUGAGACAGCCAUAGGUGUGGAGGACAUCUAGAGAGUUCUCAGACAUUUGGGGACCAAGGCCAGCACCUCCAUCAUCUCCCUUCCUGGGAGCCAUCCACACUGACAGAAGGAUGAAAGAUGGAUUACCCAGGUCGUUCCAGCCAUAAGACCGGCAAACACAGGCUGCUAAUCCACUCUUGGAACUGCCAGGAAAAGCCCAUUUCAGCCUGACCUUUUGUACAAACAGAUUAGAGGUCAUAGACUUUGACAUCUGAGCAUUGCUCUGCCUCUACAAGAAAACAUCCAGAUGUAGGGCAGACGGGAUGUAACAUAGGAAGAUGGAAGGAUUGAAAAACAUCAUUAAAACCACCUGAGUGAACCGGACAUCCAUCUGAGAGCUGAAUGUUCCUCCAACACCCAGAAGACCUCCUAGGGGCUCUGCACACUACCCAGCGACAGCAGCUAUUUGAACACCAACCAGUUCUGAUGGGCUUGCUCCUCCCCCCAGCUGAAUUUAGGGUUCUCAGACUCAGGAAGUAUGUGGGAGCAAGGUAGUAGGCCUGGGACUUUAUCCACUCUUCCUACAUACCCCUGGGUGUGUCACAGAUACACAGGGAAAGCCAGGGGAACUUGGGGUAAAGGGUGGAGACAGUGUAAUUGACAGGUUGGAUCCUGGCAGCUCCUUUUUCUUAAAUCAAGACUGUGUCAAAUAAUGAGACAGACACAGACCAGGGGCUGCAGAGUGAUGGUCACAUGACAAUGAACCAAAACUCAUAGCUACUCCUGGCAGGGCUGGAUUUUUGAGAAGAAUAGAAUGUAUGUGGGUGGCCUUGUUUUCUUUCUAUUUUUCCCCUUAUCCUGAAAGGAAAGUAAGAUCCUUUCUACUAGGUUGUUCACAAUUACUGCCCCCACCUUUUGAUUUGGACGCUCUUCCAAAAAGAUGUCAGUAAUGUUCACAAUAGUGAUGAUAUAUUGAGCUCAUUCCUGUGGCCUUUAGCCUGUAUUGUUGUCUAUUGAAGUUGAAAGAGCUCUCAUGGCCAGAAUGGGGGAUGGGGUAAUCCUGAUAAGAGGACACUGUGACAUCUCAUGACUAAGUCAAGGCCCAGAUCAGAACAGAGGGUGUCCAGAUAAGCUGCCCAACAAGGAUGCCUACUGAGUAGAGAAAGCAGGACAGGCCUGGCAGCUGGUUCAUGCCCUGCCCUCCCCUGUGGGUGACCUGAGAGUCCCUGCAUCCCUCAGGAUGCAGCAUUCACUGAGUGCAGAAAUAGUCCCCAACCCUAACAGCUCUGUGUGGCUACACAAGACCUUAGGCAGGUGGAAGGAAGAGGGAUUUUGCGAUUGCCUCACUCUGGAAUCCAGGAGGAGAGUGGUUCCUGGAGAUGGGGUGUUGGCAGCAAUGUGUGGUAUGGGGAUCUGCAUGGUAGAAGAGUAAGGCAGUCCCUCCUCUGGUUUCCUGGCGGCUGUGACAAAGUACCACAGACUGGACAGCUUAGGCCUUGGGAAGGCUGAAAGGUGAGGGUAUUGAUAGGGCAGGUUUCUUGGUGGUGGUUGUGAUGGUAGUGGUGUUGGUGUCUCUCUUGCUCUUUGGUUACUGAUGGUCACCUUUCUAUCUUGAUAUUAGCUGUGAAGAUCUAUGUCAAAACUCCUCUUCCUACAGGGAGAACAUCGGGGUUGGAUUACAUUCCAUCCUAAUGGCCUAUCUGUAAUUUCUCUGGCUCUUUAAUGACCGACCCUGUCUCCAAUUAUGGAAACAUUGUGGAGUGUCUUGGGGGGUUAGAGUUCAACAUAUGAAUUCCAGGGAACACGACUUGCCCAAGCAGCAAGCACAUUGUUCAAACCAGGCAGGCAGCAUUGUGGGCCUGCUGUUAGCUGGAGACACCUGCCCCAGGCACAGCCCCACAGUGCUCAUAGAGUGUUCUCAGGAGCACUUUCACCCUCCUAUCAGUUCUGAAGUCAAUGGAGAAUACAUUCAUGUCCCAUUUCACAGAGAGGAAGACAAAGGUCCUCAAAGAACUAGCUGACCCCCAAACCUGGCUGCCAGCAAGUGAGGGUCACCAGGGUUGAGUGCCGUGUAUCCUCUCCCACUGCAGAACAGUUUUAAUGCCUGGGUCUCAAACCGGAACGUUUACCGGAAGGGCUGAUGAGUCCU
rnacentral:lncRNA from 1 species